rnacentral:lncRNA from 1 species
GAAAUCAUAAAAGCGAUAUAAGAUCGUUUUGGGCUUAAAGAAACGUUCGGGUUUAAUUGGGCCCAUUGGGCCUAGACCCAUUGGGCUUUUAUUCAAGCAUAGGAUGAUUUGAAAUAAUAAAAGCCCAAAGCCCAAACCAAACACUAAAGGCCGACCACUUAAAGGGAAAGGGAGAGAGUGGAAGUCAAGUUGUUGACUAGGUUUCUUUUUGUCUAUAUAAGGAACUUUAUAGAGAUAAUUUUCAUAAGGGUUUUUGUGUGUUAAAACAACAAAAGAGAAAAAAGAAAAUAUCUCACUAAAACACCCAAAGGCCGGCCACCAUUAGGGAGUGUGAGCUAAUCAUCUUAUCUCCCUUUUGGUCAUUCAUCCAUUCAUCUCACUACACUAGUGGGUGUGGAUCUUUAGAGGUCUUCUACUUUGGAGACUAAAGGAGAGCCAAAGGAGCACUCAUACUAACAAAGUGGAGGAGGCAAGGAGGGAGGCUAGGCUCAAGGAGUUCAAGGAACAAAGGGCUUGGAGAUGGUCCAUCCUUGGUCUAAAAUCUAGAUCAAGAGAUAUAGAUCUAUUCCUACACUUUGUUCUUAACUUAAAUGUUUUGAUGCAUCAUAUAUAAACCUAUGAACCUUGAAGGGGAUUUGCAUGACUAUAGCUUUGAUAUUAUUUGAUACAUGCUUCCGUUGCUUUCGUAUAUAAAUUUUGAAUUGUAUAUGCAUGCUAGUCUUUUUGAAAUCCCAUAUGAAAAUCUCAUAGAUUUCCCUUCAAGUGGUAUCAGAGCCAAAGGUUUAUAUAUUAUUUGUCCUUUUGGAUUUUAUGCAUAUGGGUUUUAAUUUAAUGUUUGACAUAUUAUUUCUUCAUUCAAAGUAUGUUUAUCUUUUGUUUUUCAAAUGUUGAAAAAUGUGAAUCAAAUGUUGAAAAGAUAUGCAUGCAAAAAGGUGUUUUGGAUGCAUGAAUGAAGAUUGAGUUUUGAACAAGUUUGACAUGUUAUUGCUUCAUUUAAAAUAUGUUUAUCUUUUGUUUUUCAAUAGUUGAAAAAUGUGAAUCAAUAGUUGAGAAAGAUAUGCAUGCAAAAAGUGUUUUGUAUGCAUGAAUGAAGAGUAAGUCAUGAACAAAAUUUGGGGUUUUGUUCCAUAGGGUAGGCACGGUUUUGGGGUGGUUUUUGGCAUGUGUUUUUGUUUUAUUGUAAGACACUCACACAUCCUUUUAAAGCUAGAAAGUAGAAACCUUGUCACUUUUGUUUUUGGGUUGAAAAAUCACCAAGAAUAUACAAAUCUUGAAAAUGUGUUCAUGGUUUUGUUCUUGGUGUUCAUGGUUUGUUUUUGGUGAAAAUGGUUUUAUUUGGUUUUCAUGCAUUGUUUUGUGGUUUUGGAUGAUGUUCAUACCAUCCAUAACCAUAUCAUAAAUUUAUAAAACCCUAGACUUGACUAGGAGAUUUCCAUCACCCCUUUUCACCUAAGUCUUUAAAGCCAAAACCAAGUGACAAGCAAAAUUUAAUUUUUUCUACUUUGCAUUGAAUUAAAGCUUUAUGGGUGAGACUUCCCAUCUCACCUUGUAAUGGCCGGCCUCCCCUAGUGGAUUUCCCACUUGUGGGGUUUUUUUUGUAAUUUGGAAAAAGUUGUUUUUACUUUUGAAGUAUUUACGGUUUUACCUCUAACUUUUUCAUAUUUGCAUUUAGGUCCUUACUAACUAGAAAGUUAAAAUAUUUGAUUUUAAUUUUGUUAGUUGUUUAAACUCAUAAUACUAUUAUGCCCAUAUGCACUAAAUCUAAAUGUUUAUGUUGCAUUCCAUUUAAUUAUUUAAUGUGAUUAAGUAGUUAGAAAAUGGGUGACUAUGGACUUAUGCCUUAAACGAUAAUUGAGCUAUAAGAUAAGGCACUAAAAUCAAAUUGUUUGAACCUUGGGAAUGUGUUUUAAUUACUGUUUCAAUUGGACCUUGUCACGUUGGACAUUAAUCUAUCUCUCCCUCUUAGUAUGUGUAAUUUGUAAGAAUUUGUACAAAUCGGUUUGUAAUUCUUAUUACUUCUUAAUCUGUUUUAGUUAGUUGAUUCCCUCUAGUACUAGACUAGAGUUUCUUUAACUAUUGGUAAGGAGACAUAACUAAAAGAGGGUUUUGACAUGAGAUUAAAGAUUAA